rnacentral:lncRNA from 1 species
CGCUUUUUAAGUCCUAGUUUCUCUUAUAGAAACAUUGAUAUGUCCAAUUGAUCUUUUCUCUCUGUUUUUUUAAUUGCUAUUGAUCUGAUCUGUCGUUACAUACGGCGAAAAUAAAAAUAUGAUCUGGCGACCUGAUCUUUUCAGUAAUUCGUCUCCGAUUGAUCUUUCGUCCGAUUGAAAAUCUGAUCUGUCGACCUGAUCUUUUCUAUUAUACCUAAUAUUCGCCUGAUUGAUCUUUUGACGAAAAUAAAAAUAUGAUCCGACGUGAUCUUUUCUGUUAUUCAUCUCCGAUUGAUCUUUCGUCCGAUUGAAAAUCUGAUCUGUCAACAUGCUCUUUUCUGAUAUAGCAAAUGUUCGACUGAUUGAUCUUUUUUCUUAAUUUUCUUCGAUUAAUCUUUUCUCUUAUUUUUCUUCGAUUAAUCUUAGAAUUUCUAGCAUAUAUGUAUAAUAUAUCCUUGUCCGAUCCCACACAAACAUGAUUUUUUCUUUUAUUUCACAUAGUUUUUUUAAAAAACAAUUUCUAGUCUGAUUCCACGUGCGUAUGCAGUAUUUUUUUUUCUUUUUUCCUCUUAUUUUUUCCACGGUUGUAACAAACUGUGUAGGUAGUUUUCCUUUUUAAAAAAAAACUUCCUAGUCCGAUUCCACUUUAAAAAAAUCCAAAAAAACACGUUCUUUUUUAGGAAUUGUCUGAUCCAAAAAAUCAUUUUUUAUCCAAAGAAUCACGCUCUUUUGUAAAAUAUAAAUACUAAAAGUGGUAAUAUAGUUUUAAACUUGGACAUAACUUAGAUCAAACUUUUACAUUUGAUGCUUUCGAUUCUUUUCCAAUUUUUUGUGCGCUUUUUAAGUCCUAGUUUCUCUUAUAGAAACAUUGAUAUGUCCAAUUGAUCUUUUCUCUCUGUUUUUUUAAUUGCUAUUGAUCUGAUCUGUCGUUACAUACGGCGAAAAUAAAAAUAUGAUCUGGCGACCUGAUCUUUUCUGUAAUUCGUCUCCGAUUGAUCUUUCGUCCAAUUAAAACUCUGAUCUAUCGACCUGAUCUUUUUUGUUAUAGCUAAUAUUCGCCUGAUUGAUCUUUUGAUGAAAAUAAAAAUAUGAUCCGACGACCUGAUCUUUUCUGUUAUUCAUCUCCGAUCGAUCUUUCGUCCGAUUGAAAAUCUGAUCUGUCAACAUGCUCUUUUCUGAUAUAGCAAAUGUUCGACUGAUUGAUCUUUUUUCUUAAUUUUCUUCGAUUAAUCUUUUCUCUUAUUUUUCUUCGAUUAAUCUUAGAAUUUCUAGCAUAUAUGUAUAAUAUAUCCUUGUCCGAUUCCACACAAACAUGAUUUUUUUUCUUUUAUUUCACAUAGUUUUUUUAAAAAACAAUUUCUAGUCUGAUUCCACGUGCGUAUGCAGUAUUUUUUUUCUUUUUUCCUCUUAUUUUUCCACGGUUGUAACAAACUGUGUAGGUAGUUUUCCUUUUUUUAAAAAAACUUCCUAGUCCGAUUCCACUUUAAAAAAAUCCAAAAAAACACGUUCUUUUUUAGGAAUUGUCCGAUCCAAAAAAAUCGUUUUUAUCCAAAGAAUCA